rnacentral:misc_RNA from 1 species
AUGGUAUACAAAAUUAGCUCCUUGCCAUUUCAUAAUUGCAAACAAAGAUGCACAUCUCAUAAAUUAUCUAAUUGUCUUAAACAAUACUCUUUACAUGAGCAGACAGCAUUGCGAGUUUGAAUGCAUUCUUAUGCAGGUGGUGGAGAGGAUAUUAAUGGUACAGAAGAGGUGAAUAACAGUACAUAGCGAGGAUUUAAAACCUGGCAAGCAUUAUAUUAUUCCCACAAUUCCCAC